rnacentral:rRNA from 1 species
UGGGGAAUCUUGGACAAUGGGCGCAAGCCUGAUCCAGCCAUGCCGCGUGAGCGAUGAAGGCCUUAGGGUUGUAAAGCUCUUUCACCGGUGAAGAUAAUGACGGUAGCCGGAGAAGAAGCCCCGGCUAACUCCGUGCCAGCAGCCGCGGUAAUACGGAGGGGGCUAGCGUUGUUCGGAAUUACUGGGCGUAAAGCGCGCGUAGGCGGACUGAUCAGUCAGGGGUGAAAUCCCGGGGCUCAACCCCGGAACUGCCUCCAAAACUAUUGGUCUAGAGUUCGAGAGAGGUGAGUGGAAUUCCAAGUGUAGAGGUGAAAUUCGUAGAUAUUUGGAGGAACACCAGUGGCGAAGGCGGCUCACUGGCUCGAUACUGACGCUGAGGUGCGAAAGUGUGGGGAGCAAACAGGAUUAGAUACCCUGGUAGUCCACACCGUAAAACGAUGAAUGCCAGUCGUCGGGUAGCAUGCUAUUCGGUGACACACCUAACGGAUUAAGCAUUCCGCCUGGGAGUACGGUCGCAAGAUUAAAA